CUUCAUGUCUACUUAUUCUGUUCAGAUUAUCAUUCACUCGCACUUAUAGUUUUGUGUCUUUUCUGUGUCUGUCUGAAAUGGAAAGAGACUGUGCAAUCACAUACUCUCACUUUCACUUAUGGAUGUGUGUGCAUUGCCAGAGAGAUAAAAUGAUUUAAAUUUGGGAAGUAGAUUGAAUCAGAAAGUAAUGUAGAGAUUAAGAAGCUCUUUGAAGCCUGGUGCAGAUAGAAUGGUGAACAAAGAGAUAAGGUGUGUGAGUGAGAGAGAGUUAUUACUUGAAGCCUUGAAGGAGAAGGGAAAGGACUCUAUGAGCUCUUCUCACAACUUUAAGGGUUGGUUGUUAACAUGA